GAGACAUAUGUUGAAUUGAAUCAUUCGAGCAGCGGACGGGUGAGUAAAGCACAAGGACUUGUCCGAAAGAGAGGGACACCUGCGGGAAACCGGAGCUAAUACCUCAUAAGCCGGAAGGUGAAAAGCAGAGAUGCGCUUUUGGAGAGACUUGUGUCCUAUCAGGCAGUUGGUGAGGUGAAAGCUCACCAAACCGAAGACGGGUAGCCGGACUGAGAGGUCGACCGGCCACAUUGGAACUGAGAGACGGUCCAGACUCCUACGGGAGGCAGCAGUGGGGAAUAUUGGGCAAUGGGCGGAAGCCUGACCCAGCGACGCCGCGUGAGGGAAGACAGCCUUCGGGUUGUAAACCUCUGUUGCAGGGGAAGAAGGAAGUGACGGAACCCUGCGAGGAAGCUCCGGCUAACUACGUGCCAGCAGCCGCGGUAAUACGUAGGGAGCGAGCGUUGUCCGGAAUUACUGGGCGUAAAGGGCGCGUAGGCGGCGCUUCAAGUCGUCUGUCAAAUGGAAGGGCUUAACCCUUUUUCGCAGACGAAACUGGAGAGCUUGAGAAGCAGAGAGGCAAACAGAAUUCCUGGUGUAGCGGUGAAAUGCGUAGAUAUCAGGAAGAAUACCAGUGGCGAAGGCGGUUUGCUGGCUGCAUACUGACGCUGAAGCGCGAAAGCCAGGGGAGCGAACGGGAUUAGAUACCCCGGUAGUCCUGGCAGUAAACGAUGUAUGCUGGGGUGUGAGACUAGCGAUAGUUUCGUGCCGAAGUU
rnacentral:rRNA from 1 species